rnacentral:rRNA from 1 species
ACACGGAGGAUCCGAGCGUUAUCCGGAUUUAUUGGGUUUAAAGGGUGCGCAGGCGGCCAUUUAAGUCAGCGGUUAAAUCGUGGGGCUCAACCCCAUUCUGCCGUUGAUACUGGGUGGCUUGAUUGCGGUCGAGGUUGGCGGAAUUCGUUGUGUAGCGGUGAAAUGCAUAGAUAUGACGAAGAACACCGAUUGCGUAGGCAGCUGACCAGACCGCAGAUGACGCUCAUGCACGAAAGUGCGGGGAUCGAACAGGAUUAGAUACCCUGGUAGUCCGCACAGUAAACGAUGAAUACCUGGUUUCGGCGAUAUAAUGUCGGAGGCAAAGCGAAAGCGAUAAGUAUUCCACCUGGGGAGUACGCCGGCAACGGUGAAACUCAAAUGAAUUGACGGGG